rnacentral:lncRNA from 1 species
UCUCAGCUCACUGCAACCUCCACCUCCCGGGUUCAAGUGAUUCUCGUGCCUCAGCCUCCUGAGUCGUUGGGACUACAGGCGCAUGCCACCACGCCCAGCUAAUUUUUGUAUCUUUAGUAGAGAGAGGGUUUCACCAUGUAAGCCAGGCUGGGUUAACCAUUUUUAAACAUAUAGUUCAGUAGUGUUAAGUAUAUUCACAUUUGAUGUGUAACAAUCUCCAUUAUUUUUUCAUCUUACAAAUUUGAAACUCUUUACCUAUUAAACAACCCAUUUUGGCCAGGCAUGGUGGCUCACACCUAUAAUCCCAGAACUUUGGGAGGCCGAGGCGGAAAGAUCACUUGAGCUCAGGAGUUUAAGACCAGCCUGGGCAAUAUGGCAAAACCUCGUCUCUACAAAAAAUACAAAAACUAGCUGGGCGUGGUGGUGUGUACCUGUAGUCCCAGCUACUUGGGAAGCUGAGGUGGAAGGAUGACCUGAGCCCAGGAGUUAGAGGCUGCAGUGAGCUAUGAUAGUGCCACUGCACUCCAGCCUAGGCGACAGAGCAAGAGCCUAUCUCAAAACAAAAACAAAAACAAAAAACUCAUUUCCUCCUCACCCCAGCCCCUGGCAGCCACCAUUUUACUUUCUGUUUCUGAGUUUAUAUACAACUCAUACCCAAGUUUAGAUGCCUCAUAUACAGCAUGUCUUUUUGUGACUGGCUUAUACAGCAUGUCUUUUUGUGACUCUCUUAGCACGAUGUCCUCAAGAUUCAGCCAUGUUUUGUGGCAUGUGUCAGAAUUUCCUUCCUUUUCAAGGCUGAAUAAUAUUCCAUUGCAUGUACAUCUCGCCUUUUGUGUAUUCAUUCAUCUGCUGAUGGGCAUUUGGGUUCCUUCUACCCUUUGGUUACUAUGAAUAGUGCUGCUAAGAAUAUGGGUAUAGAUACCUCUUGGAGACCCUGCUUUCAAUUCUUUUGGAUAUUAAUAGUUUGGAUACUUGUCCCCCAAAUCUCACGUUGAAAUUUAAUCCCCAAUGUUGGAGGUGGAGCUUGGUGGGAGGUGAUUGGAUCAUGGGGAGGAUUUCUCAUGAAUGGUUUAGGACCCUCCCCUUGGUGCUGUCCUCAGGAGAUUUGUGUGUGGUAUCUCCCCUUGCUCACUCUCUUGCUCCUGCUCUUGCCUUCUCACCAUGUGAUACACUGACUCCCCCUGUGCCUUCCACCAUGACUGUAAGCUUCUGAGGCCUCACCAGAAGCCAAUAGGAUGCACAGCACCAUGCUUCCUGAGCCAAUUAAACUUUUCUUUAUAAAUUACCCAGUCUCAGGUAUUUCUUUAUAGCAAUGCAAGAAUGGCCUAACACAGAUAUGUACCCAGAAGUGGAAUGGCUGGAUCAAACGGCAAUUCUGUUUUUCAUUUUGGGGGAGCUGCACCAGUUCACAGGGUUCUAAUUUCUCUGUAUCCUUGACAACACUUACUUUGUUUUGGUGUUUAAUAGUAGCCAUCCUAAUGGGAUAUGAGGCAAUAUC